GUGCUGGUCCCACUGCUGAGCUCCUCACAUCCCAUCCCAGCUCUGCAGUGACUGUGUUUGAUCUGGUUUGGAAAGAUGGUAAAGAUCCAGGACACAAGGACGUUGUUGCGUCUUUCAGUUCUGAAAAGUUUUCAUGCCUGCAUUGAAAGGUAAAUGGAUGCAUGCAGAAAAUGGCACCUUUUGGAUUAACGGUUCUCAUGCAGUCUUUGAUUAUCUGCACACUGACCACGUAUGGGGUAUACUCCACAAAUCUGUUAGACAGUCCUGUGUUUCCCAGCAAUGAAAAACAUCAGCUGAACAUCUCGGAGCAGCUGUCUAAAGGCAAACCUGGCAUAGAUGAGAGCAGAAGCUUCUCUCGGUUGUCAUUCUCCAAAUCUUUCUAUUCCUUUGAAGUGAAGGAAGAUACACAGCCAGGAUGCCCAAAGUUUUGCAUGCGGUUGUAGGAACCAGACAUCCAAAGUGUUCAAUACCUCUGAAAGCUCCCUCACUGAAAGGUAUUAC
ensembl:lncRNA